GGCUAAUGAGCGUUAGAUAGGGGAAUGGGGGUUUGUGAGGGAUGGAUCCAAAACCCUUGUUUGAUCCAGCCCUCACUAGCCCCCAUUCUCCCAUCCAGCCCUUACUCUCUCA